GAUGAACGCUGGCGGCGUGCCUAAUACAUGCAAGUCGAGCGAACGGACGAGAAGCUUGCUUCUCUGAUGUUAGCGGCGGACGGGUGAGUAACACGUGGAUAACCUACCUAUAACACUGGGAUAACUUCGGGAAACCGGAGCUAAUACCGGAUAAUAUUUUGAACCGCAUGGUUCAAAAGUGAAAGACGGUCUUGCUGUCACUUAUAGAUGGAUCCGCGCUGCAUUAGCUAGUUGGUAAGGUAACGGCUUACCAAGGCAACGAUGCAUAGCCGACCUGAGAGGGUGAUCGGCCACACUGGAACUGAGACACGGUCCAGACUCCUACGGGAGGCAGCAGUAGGGAAUCUUCCGCAAUGGGCGAAAGCCUGACGGAGCAACGCCGCGUGAGUGAUGAAGGUCUUCGGAUCGUAAAACUCUGUUAUUAGGGAAGAACAUAUGUGUAAGUAACUGUGCACAUCUUGACGGUACCUAAUCAGAAAGCCACGGCUAACUACGUG
rnacentral:rRNA from 1 species